rnacentral:misc_RNA from 1 species
GAAGCUGCCAAUGUCCCUUAUCUCUUCCCUACUUUUACUUCUCCCAGGAUAGAGUGAGAGAGGCAGAAAAAGAAACAUGAACUCCUUUUCAAUCUUCACGCCAAUUUCAUCGUCUUCUCUCACUCUUCUCAAGCCAAACAAUAACCCUCUUCUGGGAAACUUUCUUGCUUCCAAACCAUGUUCACCUCUCAAGAGAAGAGCUUCUUCAACUACCAGAGCACUUCUCUCAGCUUCCAAAGAAUCAGUGUUAAGGGAUUUCCAUGAACGAAGAGCUCUCAAGAUCAUCUCAGGCUUGCAUAAUUUUAACAAAGAAAAUGUUGCUUCGGUUGUUACUGCUGCAGACAAGGGGGGAGCCACUCAUGUGGAUAUAGCCUGUGACCCAGAAUUAGUGAAGCUUGCCAGUAGCUUAACUUCUCUUCCGGUAAUAAAUUCUUCUUCAAAAGGUAGCGUGAUUAAUUUUUAUAGAUAAUAAUAAUAAUGCUUAAUAAUUCUUACUGGAUUAAAACUUUUGAUCUUCUGAAUUUGAGUGAAUUGUUGCAUUAGUCAACCCAUGGACUACAGCUGCAAGAUACUCAGAAACCUUUGCUUUAUCAUUGAAAAAUCAUGAUAAAGCUACAAUUUGUUCAAAAUUGUAUAUCAAAACUCUGUUUCUGAUUUGGAGAUAACCCAUUUCCAGGUCUGUGUUUCCUCCGUGGAUCCAGAAGCAUUUCUGGCUGCAGUUGAAGCAGGAGCACUGAUGGUUUGAUCACUAACUCAUUGUCCGAUCAUUUAAUUUAGCUUUAUAGCACAUUUUCAAUGAAAUUCUGCCUAAUUUACAUGGAAAAUAAGAAUGCAAUUUAUUGAUGCAUAGCCUUUGCAGGUGGAAAUUGGGAAUUAUGAUUCGUUUUAUGAUAAGGGAGUAGUUUUCUUUCCAGAGCAGAUAUUAAAUCUAACAAAGAAUACCAAGAGGAUCCUUCCAUCUGUUACACUAUCUGUGACAGUUCCACACACACUAAGCCUCCCUGACCAGGUCAAGCUUGCAGAGCUUUUGGAACAGGAAGGUGCUGACAUUAUACAGACUGAAGGAGGAAAAUGUUCUAAUCCUUCAGAAUCUGGUGUUCUUGGUCUGAUUGAGAAGGCAACACCAACCUUGGCCGCAGCCUAUUCGAUUUCGAGAGCUAUCAAAAUUCCAGUAAUGUGUUCAUCUGGACUUAGUGCAGUAACAGCACCAAUGGCAAUCACAACAGGGGCUUCUGGUGUGGGCGUGGGCUCAGCAGUAAACAAGCUAAAUGAUGUGGUUGCAAUGAUCGCAGAGGUUAGAAGUAUUGCAGAUUCAUUAGGCAUCUCAGCUGAUAGACAUACCACACCUGAAGAGAGAAUUUUGACAUUGUAAAAUGUAGUGUAUUUUUUUUGUUUAUUUAGGACCACCAGGGAACAUCAAGUUUUCCGAGGGAACCAUAAGUAGAAUGUCAAAAAAUCCUUCCAAGUGGUUAAAUAGAUAAUGCAAUAAUAAAAUUCCUGCUUCUGUUAGUUAAGCAGUAUAAAAGAAAAAUUAUGCAAAGAUUUGGAG